UACGUAGGGUGCGAGCGUUAAUCGGAAUUACUGGGCGUAAAGCGUGCGCAGGCGGUGCGUUGUGUCGGUGGUGAAAUCCCCGGGCUUAACCUGGGAACUGCCAUCGAAACUGGCGUACUAGAGUGUGGCAGAGGGGGGUGGAAUUCCGCGUGUAGCAGUGAAAUGCGUAGAGAUCGUAAGGAAGACCAGUGGCGAAGGCGGGUCUCUGGACAGUUCCUGACACUGAGGCACGAAGGCCAGGGGAGCAAACGGG
rnacentral:rRNA from 1 species